GAUGAACGCUGACAGAAUGCUUAACACAUGCAAGUCAACCUGAACUUCGGUGUGGGUGGCGGACGGGCGAGUGACGCGUAAAGAACUUGCCCCACAGUUAGGGACAACUUUUGGAAACGAAUGCUAAUACCUGAUAUUAUGAUUAUAUGGCAUCGUAUAAUUAUGAAAGCUAUAUGUGCUGUGAGAGAGCUUUGCGUCCCAUUAGCUAGUUGGAGGGGUAACGGCUCACCAAGGCGACGAUGGGUAGCCGGCCUGAGAGGGUGAUCGGCCACAAGGGGACGGGGACACGGCCAUUACUCCUACGGGAGGAAGCAGUGGGAAAUAUUCGACAAUGGACCAAGAGUGUGAUCCAGAAAUUCUGUGUGCAAGAUGAAGUUUUUCGGAAUGUAAAGUGCUUUCAGUUGAGAAGAAAAAAAUGACGGUACCAACAGAAGAAGCGACGGCUAACUACGUG
rnacentral:rRNA from 1 species